rnacentral:rRNA from 1 species
UACGUAGGGGGCAAGCGUUGUCCGGAUUUACUGGGCGUAAAGAGCGCGCAGGCGGUCGUUCAAGUCGCGUGUGAAAGCCCCCGGCUCAACUGGGGAGGGUCACGCGAUACUGAUCGACUCGAAGGCAGGAGAGGGUAGUGGAAUUCCCGGUGUAGUGGUGAAAUGCGUAGAUAUCUGGAGGAACACCGGUGGCGAAAGCGACUCUCUGGACGGCAACUGACGCUGAGGCACGAAAGCGUGGGGAGCAAACAGGG